AACAGAGAGAGGAAGCUCAGCUCUUCACAGAGUGUUGGGGAAUGUGGCAUCCAGGCAGCUGCUGGUAAGUGUGAGUCAGCGUGUGUGGUUCAGUCUGUAAGUGUGGGGGGUUCAGUCUGUGUGUGUAUGUGUGUGUGUGUGUGUGUGUGUGUGUAUGGGGUCAGUCUGUGUUUGUGUAUAGCUCAGUCUGUGUGUGUGUGUGUGUGUGUGUAUGGGGUCAGUCUG